rnacentral:rRNA from 1 species
CCUACGGGGGGCUGCAGUCGAGAAUCUUGGGCAAUGCACGAAAGUGUGACCCAGCGACGCCGCGUGGAGGAUGAAGGACCUUUGGUUCGUAAACUCCUUUUAGGGGAGAAGAACGCCCGCAAGGGCUUGACGGUACCCCCUGAAUAAGCCACGGCUAACUACGUGCCAGCAGCCGCGGUAAUACGUAGGUGGCAAGCGUUGUCCGGAUUUACUGGGCGUAAAGCGUAUGCAGGCGGACUUUUAAGUAGGAAGUGAAAGGUUGGAGCUCAACUCUAACAUUGCUCCCUAUACUGGAAGUCUUGAGUGCCGGAGAGGAAGACGGAACUGCACGUGUAGCGGUGAAAUGCGUUGAGAUGUGCAGGAACACCAAUGGCGAAAGCAGUCUUCUGGACGGAUACUGACGCUGAGAUACGAAAGCCAAGGGAGCGAACAGGAUUAGA